UGGAGGGGGAUAACUACUGGAAACGGUGGCUAAUACCGCAUAACGUCGCAAGACCAAAGAGGGGGACCUUCGGGCCUCUUGCCAUCAGAUGUGCCCAGAUGGGAUUAGCUUGUUGGUGAGGUAACGGCUCACCAAGGCGACGAUCCCUAGCUGGUCUGAGAGGAUGACCAGCCACACUGGAACUGAGACACGGUCCAGACUCCUACGGGAGGCAGCAGUGGGGAAUAUUGCACAAUGGGCGCAAGCCUGAUGCAGCCAUGCCGCGUGUAUGAAGAAGGCCUUCGGGUUGUAAAGUACUU
rnacentral:rRNA from 1 species